rnacentral:rRNA from 1 species
UACGUAGGUGGCAAGCGUUGUCCGGAUUUACUGGGCGUAAAGAGCGCGCAGGCGGUCGUUCAAGUCGCGUGUGAAAGCCCCCGGCUCAACUGGGGAGGGUCACGCGAUACUGAUCGACUCGAAGGCAGGAGAGGGUAGUGGAAUUCCCGGUGUAGUGGUGAAAUGCGUAGAUAUCGGGAGGAACACCAGUGGCGAAGGCGGCUCUCUGGGUCGUACCUGACGCUGAGGCGCGAAAGCGUGGGGAGCGAACGGG